rnacentral:lncRNA from 1 species
GCAAAUACACUAUAACCAAUAUAGAAGUUUUAUCUAAACCAACAUCAGCAUCGUAUUCCACCUCAGCAUCGUUGGUGAAGCCCGAUAUAGUCAACAAGCCUCCGCUCACAAUUGGGCAAGCCAAACGAUCCCUUCGACGCACCUCCGGCAACAUCAAUCUCGUUGCUGAGGUCGCUUUCUUCCCUGCGACUGCUGCGGCAAUUCCUCGGCGACUUCUUCCGCUGCCGUUCAGCACUUUCCACCGUCUCUCCUUGAGGCGCAGCCACAGCCGCUUGACCAUCCCGUCGCUACCUCGUCAGACUCAUCAAGGAUCACCAUCACAGUCCACUUCCCUUACCGGAGUCGACUUCCCAUCACCUGUGCAGAACCCCUCUAUAACUCCGGCGAUCUGCUCUGCAUCCAAAACUCUGCACCAAGCGCAGCGUUGGCCCACUCGCCUGAUUGCAUAGCAUAAUCCGGCUGCCUCUCUCCGGCUGCUGCUGUCCCUUUCAUGAGCGACCACAGGGACAUCACUGAUCCGCUGCUAUCGCUGUAGAAACAUCAGCGCCUUAGUUCCGUAAUGCCUCUUCUCAAUUCAUCACCCCUGCAAGAGGAGGCUGCCAUCAAGCGGACACAGCUCAGCCAUCUCCCAUUCGGUAGAGAAUUGCUGCAUAUCUCUGGCCUCUACCACACUGCAGAUUUCCUCUCCCACCGAUCGCUGCUCUAAAGAUCGACGGUGGAGCACUACAGGAGGUGAUCGCCGCCUACCUUGUCACCGUCGGUUGAAGCCCAGCCUUCUCACAGAACUACAGAUCUCUCAUAAAUCUGCUUGCAGUCUUCCUUGAAGCCCAGCCUUCUCACAGAACUGCAGAUCUCUCAUAGAUCUGCUUUCAGUCUCACGACCGUAUCCUGCUCAUCUACUGCUUGGGAAAGUGAACUCUUCCUAACAUCAGACAGUGGAGCAGCAGCAGCAAAGAUGAGGAGGGGCUUCCACUGAGAGAGAAGUAAUUUGAUGUGAUUGUGAACUUCUCACAGAACUGCAGAUCUCUUUGCAGUCUUCACGACCGCAUCCUGCUCAUCUACUGCUUGACAAAGUGAACUCUUCCCAACACCAAACAGUGGAGCAGUCGCAACAAAGACGAGGAGGGGCCUCCACUGAGAGAGAAGUGAAUUGAUUUGGAUGUGACCAGCGUGCGAUGAUA